rnacentral:snRNA from 1 species
GUACUUGCUUUAGCAGCACAUAUACUAAAAUUGGAUCGAAACAAAUUAGCACACUCCUGCACAGGGAGACAUGCAAAUUAUAGAGUCUUCUAGAUUUCAA